rnacentral:rRNA from 1 species
UACAGAGGGGGCAAGCGUUGUUCGGAAUUACUGGGCGUAAAGGGCGCGUAGGCGGCCGCCUAAGUCAGACGUGAAAUCCCUCGGCUCAACCGGGGAACUGCGUCUGAUACUGGGUGGCUUGAAUCCGGGAGAGGGAUGCGGAAUUCCAGGUGUAGCGGUGAAAUGCGUAGAUAUCUGGAGGAACACCGGUGGCGAAGGCGACGUCCUGGACCGGCAUUGACGCUGAGGCGCGAAAGCCAGGGGAGCAAACGGG